GUGGAAUAAGAAUGAUUAUUGCUCUCCCUGUGGCCUGGUGUGCAGUGGCUGCAAACAGCGGCUCUCUUGGUGCGACACGGAGCCUGUGACUUGUAGAGGCUGCCACCAGGAACCUGGGGAUAGCA
rnacentral:snoRNA from 1 species